AACGUAGGGGGCCAGCGUUGCUCGGAAUUACUGGGCGUAAAGGGUCCGUAGGCGGUGUGGCAAGUCGGGAGUGAAAUCUCAUGGCUUAACUGUGAGACUGCUUCCGAAACUGCUGUGCUCGAGUGCGGGAGAGGCGAGUGGAAUUGCCGGUGUAGCGGUGAAAUGCGUAGAUAUCGGCAGGAACACCCGUGGCGAAGGCGGCUCGCUGGACCGCAACUGACGCUGAGGGACGAAAGCUAGGGGAGCAAACAGG
rnacentral:rRNA from 2 species